GUGUCAGCCGCCGCGGUAAUACGGAGGAUGCAAGCGUUAUCCGGAUUUAUUGGGUUUAAAGGGUGCGCAGGCGGAAAAAUAAGUCAGUGGUGAAAACCUGCAGCUUAACUGUAGAAUUGCCAUUGAUACUGUUAUUCUUGAGUAUGGUCAAGGUAGGCGGAAUGUGUAAUGUAGCGGUGAAAUGCUUAGAUAUUACACAGAACACCGAUUGCGAAGGCAGCUUACUGGGCCAUUACUGACGCUCAUGCACGAAAGCGUGGGGAUCGAACAGGAUUAGAAACCCCCGUAGUCC
rnacentral:rRNA from 1 species